UACGUAGGCAGCGAGCGUUGUUCGGAGUUACUGGGCGUAAAGAGUGCGUAGGCGGUUUUCUAAGUUUGGUGUGAAAUCUCCCGGCUUAACUGGGAGGGUGCGCCGAAGACUGGAAGGCUUGAGUAUGGGAGAGGUAAGCGGAAUUCCUGGUGUAGCGGUGAAAUGCGUAGAUAUCAGGAGGAACACCGGUGGCGAAGGCGGGUCUCUGGGCCGUAACUGACGCUGAGGAGCGAAAGCAUGGGGAGCGAACAGG
rnacentral:rRNA from 1 species